rnacentral:siRNA from 1 species
AUCAUCGUACGAAAAGAAUGGAGG